GGGGCUGACAGGAUUCGACAUCAGUUUCACCGGUCGGACGUGCGACCCGAGUUGCUCAGACUCGUAAAACGGGGCAACCCAAAGAAUUGCCAACGAGCAGUUCGCUCUCGCCGCCUGAUUCUCAGGUGAGUGAAGAGACAUCGUGACCAGAAAUGGCGCACGGGGCCGAUCCACCGCAGCCCGGCAACAGAAGCGGAGGAUGACAGCGGGAAAGACAGCUGGCGUCGGGAAAGACCGAUGACCGAUCGGAAAGACGAUCCGUGGCCCACCACCUCCGGGUGAUGGGCAUCCGACCCGCCGGUCUCCCUGCGUCAGGGAGGAAGUCGGGAAUGGUCGUAGCACGGGCGCUCGCUGCCUGAUGGACGGGGGUUCGACUCCCCCCAGCUCCACCA
rnacentral:tmRNA from 1 species